rnacentral:rRNA from 1 species
UACGUAGGGGGCAAGCGUUGUCCGGAUUUAUUGGGCGUAAAGCGCGCGUAGGCGGCGCGGUAUGUCGUGCGUGAAAUCUCCCGGCUUAACUGGGAGGGGCCGUGCGAAACUGCCGGGCUUGAGGUCAGAAGGGGAAAGUGGAAUUCCGGGUGUAGUGGUGGAAUACGUAGAGUAUCCGGAGGAACACCAGCGGCGAAGGCGGCUUUCUGGUCUGAAUACUG